AAGAGGGUGUUCAAAGAAAAUAACACAGGCUCAAAAGGGGUAGUGAUUAACAUAAAGUAUUUGGAUAGUAGAAAAAGGGCCUCCCAACCUCAAGAACGCCAAACAUAGUAUCUUUUCGCGAUCACAGCAUUGACGAACAUGUCUCUCUUCUUGGUGUGUCGUGGUCACCAGGCACUUUCCAUCCUUUACUUUCCAACAAAUUUCAAUUGAUUAAACAUCCCCAAGCCCGAUCUUCACAAUGAUUUGAAGGUGAAGUCUACUUGACUUUAACUUCAAAGUAUUUC
rnacentral:lncRNA from 1 species